rnacentral:rRNA from 1 species
GACGUAGGGUGCGAGCGUUGUCCGGAUUUAUUGGGCGUAAAGAGCUCGUAGGCGGUCUGUUGCGUCGGCUGUGAAAACCCGGGGCUCAACCCCGGGCCUGCAGCCGAUACGGGCAGACUAGAGUUCGGCAGGGGAGACUGGAAUUCCUGGUGUAGCGGUGAAAUGCGCAGAUAUCAGGAGGAACACCGGUGGCGAAGGCGGGUCUCUGGGCCGAUACUGACGCUGAGGAGCGAAAGCGUGGGGAGCGAACAGG